rnacentral:rRNA from 1 species
AAUUUUUGACAAUGGGGGAAACCCUGAUCCAGCCAUCACGCGUGUAUGAUGAAGGCCUUCGGUUUGUAAAGUACUUUUUGCAGAGAAGAAAAGGUAUCCCCUAAUACGGGAUACUGCUGACGGUAUCUGCAGAAUAAGCACCGGCUAACUACGUGCCAGCAGCCGCGGUAAUACGUAGGGUGCAAGCGUUAAUCGGAAUUACUGGGCGUAAAGCGUGUGUAGGCGGUUCGGAAAGAAAGAUGUGAAAUCCCAGGGCUCAACCUUGGAACUGCAUUCUUAACUACCGAACUAGAGUAUGUCAGAGGGGGGUAGAAUUCCGCGUGUAGCAGUGAAAUGCGUAGAUAUGCGGAGGAAUACCGAUGGCGAAGGCAGCCCCCUGGGAUAAUACUGACGCUCAUGCACGAAAGCGUGGGUAGCAAACAGG